UCUUGUAGUGUGAUGUUAAAGUAAAGCAGAAUGGCUAGAGACCAGUAACUUCAGAAUUGAAGAGAUAUGCAGGCCUUUGUUCUACAUGGUGAAUGAGGGAACCAUGGUGGAGUUUUGAUUUAAUGAGUGAAACCUGUGAAGUGUUAGUGAAGCAGAAUAGUUACAGAUGAUCAGAGAUGCAGGUCUUUGUUCAGCAUAGUGUAUAUGGAAAACAUAGUGGAUGGCCACCAUUUAGCGAGUCUGUAGGACUGUGAUGUGUGUACCAGUCUAUCAGGCUAUCCCAUUUUGUCAAGUCAACAAAUUUGCAAUGGCUGCAUGGAUUCUCAAAUAACUUGGCAUAACUUUUCACAGUAACAAAAGAUAAUAGAGAAAUACCGGUAUAUGAGGCAGAGCUAUCUGCAGUAUGCCAGAGACACAGCAAGAAGUACACAUUGUUUUGCACAGAUUUGUGUUCCACAAAGGGAUUCUCACAGAAAAAAGUAA